rnacentral:rRNA from 1 species
AUUGAACGCUGGCGGCAGGCCUAACACAUGCAAGUCGAACGAGUGGCGGACGGGGGAGAAAGGUCUGGGAAACGGCCUGAGGGAGGGGGAUAACUACUGGAAACGGUAGCUAAUACCGAAAACCAUAGGAUGUGCCAAGAUGGGAUGAGCUUGUGGGUGGGGUAACGGCUCACCAAGGCGACGAUCCCUAGCUGGUCUGAGAGGAUGACCAGCCACACUGGAACUGAGACACGGUCCAGACUCCUACGGGAAGCAGCAGUGGGGAAUAUUGCACAAUGGGCGCAAGCCUGAUGCAGCCAUGCCGCGUGUAUGAAGAAGGCCUUCGGGUUGUAAAGUACUUUCAGCGGGGAGGCGUUACCCGCAGAAGAAGCACCGGCUAACUCCGUGCCAGCCGCCGCGGUAAUAC